rnacentral:rRNA from 1 species
GAGCACCUUUCGUUCUCCUUCGGCGGGGCAACCUGCCGCUGGAACCAAAACAAAACCUUUUUUGCAUCUAGCAUUACCUGUUCUGAUACAAAUAAUCGUUACAACUUUCAACAAUGGAUCUCUUGGCUCUGGCAUCGAUGAAGAACGCAGCGAAAUGCGAUAAGUAGUGUGAAUUGCAGAAUUCAGUGAAUCAUCGAAUCUUUGAACGCACAUUGCGCCCCUUGGUAUUCCAUGGGGCAUGCCUGUUCGAGCGUCAUCUACACCCUCAAGCUCUGCUUGGUGUUGGGCGUCUGUCCCGCCUCUGCGCGCGGACUCGCCCCAAAUUCAUUGGCAGCGGUCUUUGCCUCCUCUCGCGCAGCACAAUUGCGUCUGCGGGGGGGCGUGGCCCGCGUCCACGAAGCAACAUUACCGUCUUUGACCUCGGAUCAGGUAGGGAUACCCGCUGAACUUAAGCAUAUCAAUAAGCGGAG